CAACACACAACACACAACACACACAAUUGAGAAAUUGCAAUUCUCUCUCGUGGAAAAAAAGAAGAAAUAGAGGAACAGAUCUUGAGGUGUAUGGCUGUCGAAGGCUAGGUUUAAAUGCUAUAUUCAGGCAGGUCGGACCAGUAUGUAGUUUUCUCCUCAUUGUUAGUUAAAAUACAAAUCACAUUUUGUUUGUACAGAGAGAACGUAAAAGCGUGGGGAUAAUUUGUGAUGGAUUACUUGUGGUGUUUGAUAUGUAUACAUAUAAAGUUGUUGGUAGAUUAUGCAUGUUAUGACGUUGGGAUUA